GACGAACGCUGGCGGCGUGCUUAACACAUGCAAGUCGAACGAAGAGCGAUGGAAGCUUGCUUCUAUCAAUCUUAGUGGCGAACGGGUGAGUAACGCGUAAUCAACCUGCCCUUCAGAGGGGGACAACAGUUGGAAACGACUGCUAAUACCGCAUACGAUCUAACCUCGGCAUCGAGGAUGGAUGAAAGGUGGCCUCUAUUUAUAAGCUAUCACUGAAGGAGGGGAUUGCGUCUGAUUAGCUAGUUGGAGGGGUAACGGCCCACCAAGGCGAUGAUCAGUAGCCGGUCUGAGAGGAUGGACGGCCACAUUGGGACUGAGACACGGCCCAGACUCCUACGGGAGGCAGCAGUGGGGAAUCUUCCGCAAUGGACGGAAGUCUGACGGAGCAACGCCGCGUGAGUGAUGACGGCCUUCGGGUUGGAAAGCUCUGUUAAUCGGGACGAAAGGCCUUCUUGCGAAUAGUUAGAAGGAUUGACGGUACCGGAAUAGAAAGCCACGGCUAACUACGUG
rnacentral:rRNA from 1 species